rnacentral:rRNA from 1 species
CCUAUCAGUAUCCUGAGUAGGGCGGGACACGUGAAAUCCCGUUUGAAUCCGCGAGGACCAUCUCGCAAGGCUAAAUACUAACCAGUGACCGAUAGUGAACCAGUACCGUGAGGGAAAGGUGAAAAGAACCCCGGGAGGGGAGUGAAAGAGAACCUGAAACCGUGUGCCUACAAGUAGUCAGAGCCCGUUAACGGGUAAUGGCGUGCCUUUUGUAGAAUGAACCGGCGAGUUGCGUUAGUCAGCAAGGUUAAGUCAGAAAAGACGGAGCCGUAGCGAAAGCGAGUCUGAAGAGGGCGAGCAGUUGGCUGACGCAGACCCGAAACCAAGUGACCUACCCAUGACCAGGUUGAAGGCGCGGUAAAACGCGCUGGAGGACCGAACCCACGUAAGUUGAAAAUUGCGGGGAUGAGUUGUGGGUAGCGGUGAAAUUCCAAACGAACUUGGAGAUAGCUGGUUCUCUCCGAAAUAGCUUUAGGGCUAGCCUCGCAAAGAGGAUGCUGGAGGUAGAGCUCUGUUUGGACUAGGGGCCCGUCAAGGGUUACUGAAUUCAGAUAAACU